GAUGAACGCUGGCGGCGUGCCUAAUACAUGCAAGUCGAGCGAACCACUUCGGUGGUGAGCGGCGAACGGGUGAGUAACACGUAGGUCAUCUGCCCAUCAGACGGGGACAACGAUUGGAAACGGUCGCUAAUACCGGAUAGGACGAAAGUUUAAAGGUGCUUCUGGCACCGCUGAUGGAUGAGCCUGCGGCGCAUUAGCCAGUUGGUAGGGUAAAGGCCUACCAAGGCGACGAUGCGUAGCCGACCUGAGAGGGUGAACGGCCACACUGGGACUGAGACACGGCCCAGACUCCUACGGGAGGCAGCAGUAGGGAAUCUUCGGCAAUGGGCGAAAGCCUGACCGAGCAACGCCGCGUGAAUGAUGGAGGCCUUCGGGUUGUAAAAUUCUGUUAUAAGGGAAGAAUGACUUUAGUAGGAAACGGCUAGAGUGUGACGGUACCUUAUGAGAAAGCCACGGCUAACUACGUGCCAGCCGCCGCGGUAAGAC
rnacentral:rRNA from 1 species